AUUGAACGCUGGCGGCAGGCCUAACACAUGCAAGUCGAGCGGUUGACGGGAGCUUGCUCCCUGAUUCAGCGGCGGACGGGUGAGUAAUGCCUAGGAAUCUGCCUAUUAGUGGGGGACAACGUUUCGAAAGGAACGCUAAUACCGCGUACGUCCUACGGGAGAAAGCAGGGGACCUUCGGGCCUUGCGCUAAUAGAUGAGCCUAGGUCGGAUUAGCUUGUUGGUGAGGUAAUGGCUCACCAAGGCGACGAUCCGUAACUGGUCUGAGAGGAUGAUCAGUCACACUGGAACUGAGACACGGUCCAGACUACUACGGGAGGCAGCAGUGGGGAAUAUUGGACAAUGGGCGAAAGCCUGAUCCAGCCAUGCCGCGUGUGUGAAGAAGGUCUUCGGAUUGUAAAGCACUUUAAGUUGGGAGGAAGGGUUGUAGAUUAAUACUCUGCAAUUUUGACGUUACCGACAGAAUAAGCACCGGCUAACUCUGUGCCAGCAGCCGCCGUAACAC
rnacentral:rRNA from 1 species